rnacentral:misc_RNA from 1 species
GAUCGCCGUGUGCGAUGAAAGUCGCCUGCAUGGUGAAGACUCGUUAUAAAACUGAGAGAUAGAGAAAGUAUAAGACGAGAAU